GAGGAAAAAGCAUUGUUAUGCGGUUGACUUGAAAUCAACACAUGGUGGUUAAAAUCUGCCUUUUCUC
rnacentral:tRNA from 1 species